AAUAAAAUAAAAGAAAUAAAAAGGAUCGAGACAAGAACCUUACUCUCUUAGCAUAGGCUUGAAGCCCUUAGUUGCAAGGUCUUUGACUGUGCCCAAGAAAGGGAUGUGGGACAGGUAGCUAAGUAAAAAACCAACCCCGUAGUACAAGUACAACUACAAGAGGGGGCCCUACCAGUCAUAGUCUUCACUCUCCCCCAUAAGAACUAAAUUCCUGGAGUUCUUACUUCCUUAGUAGACAUCCCAUCUCGUAUCUGUAUCUGUC
rnacentral:lncRNA from 1 species